AGUGAACGCUGGCGGUAGGCCUAACACAUGCCAGUCGAACGGCAGCACAGUAAGAGCUUGCUCUUACGGGUGGCGAGUGGCGGACGGGUGAGGAAUACAUCGGAAUCUACUUUUUCGUGGGGGAUAACGUAGGGAAACUUACGCUAAUACCGCAUACGACCUACGGGUGAAAGCAGGGGAUCUUCGGACCUUGCGCGAUUGAAUGAGCCGAUGUCGGAUUAGCUAGUUGGCGGGGCAAAGGCCCACCAAGGCGACGAUCCGUAGCUGGUCUGAGAGGAUGAUCAGCCACACUGGAACUGAGACACGGUCCAGACUCCUACGGGAGGCAGCAGUGGGGAAUAUUGGACAAUGGGCGCAAGCCUGAUCCAGCCAUACCGCGUGGGUGAAGAAGGCCUUCGGGUUGUAAAGCCCUUUUGUUGGGAAAGAAAAGCAGCAGGUUAAUACCCCGCUGUUCUGACGGUACCCAAAGAAUAAGCACCGGCUAACUUCGUG
rnacentral:rRNA from 1 species